AUGAGGGAGCGAGGAAAGAUUUGGUUUAAUCCUGCAGUAGAAGCCUUUGCUUAACUCUAGCAGCAAUGAGAUGCUGAAUGAAUGUAAAUAUCCACUGUGUGUGUGGUGGCUACAUGCAGCAAGAAAUGUCUCUCUUGUGAGGCUGACAAGGCUGUAAACAAGAAGAGAAGAGAAGGAAAAAAUGAGCGUGUCACUGAUGGAUAUAUUUCAGUCUAACGUUGGUCAGAUGCCACAAUCCGUCAAAGUUGAUCCUUACUGAGCACAGAGGAGCCCUGUUUGGUGCUGGAAAUCUGGCAGGACCAUCUGUUUGUUCCACCGGAUUAAAGUGUAUUCCUUUUUUCAGCAGAAACUUGGUGAAGGGGAUUCACAGGGCAGUGACCAUUUCUCACUUCCCAUGAAUGAAACUAAAAGACAGAAUGGCAUGCUCGAUUCUAAGAGAUUCAGUCAUGGCUAUAAGCAUGGAAUUACUUCAGCAGCCUUCCCAGCAACAGCCGCAUAGAGCUUUCUGUUCACUCAGAUCUCCAAUCAGAGUUCUUUAAAAGCACGCAUAUAGAUAUUUUCACUCCAGAGCUACAUCCGCAAUCUCUCUCUACUUGCUAGGUAAAAUUUCUUUUGUAUUAAAGGGAAACUAAUCAUAAAAAACAUUUCCAGGAAAUGACUUCUAAGCCAUCCAGCACAAGUAUUUCAUAGAAUAACAAAGAAGAAAUAUAAAAAAUAUAUUCAAAAAAUAAACUAUUACACAAAGAGUGGGGCUAAAUAACCUAUGAUAAUGUUACAUGGGGAGGCACAUUUAUCAAAGGUCGAAUUUUUUUUAACUGUAAUAAAUUCAAAUAUACUCGAAAUUCAA